CAGCUAUAAWUUACUUGAUCUUGACAWAACCUACUUGGAUAACUGKGKUUAAUUCUARAKCUAAUACAUGCMCCAARSYCAUUGACCUUGCGGGAARAGUGCAUUUAUUARAACAAAACCAGGCGGCMUUCGGGUCGUUUUUUGUUGACUCAGAAUAACUAAGCUGAUCGCAUGGUCUAGCACCGGCGACGUGUCUUUCAAGUGUCUGCCUUAUCAACUUUCGAUGGUAGUGUAUGUGACUACCAUGGUUGUGACGGGUAACGGAGGAUAAGGGUUUGACUCCGGAGAAGGGGCCUGAGAAAUGGCCACUACGUCUAAGGAUGGCAGCAGGCGCGCAAAUUACCCACUCUCGGAAUGAGGAGGUAGUGACGAGAAAUAACGAGACCGUUCUCUUAGAGGCCGGUCAUCGGAAUGGGUACAAUCUAAACCCUUUAACGAGUAUCUAUGAGAGGGCAAGUCUGGUGCCAGCAGCCGCGGUAAUUCCAGCUCUCAAAAUGCAUAGAAUUAUUGCUGCGGUUAAAAAGCUCGUAGUUGGAUCUGUGCCGCAGGACUCGGUCCGCCUUCGGGCGCGCACUGGGCUUCUCGGCUUUUCUGCUGGUUUUCCCGUUAUGGUCUUAACCGGUCGUAGCGGGUGGCUGGCGAUUUUACUUUGAACAAAUCAGAGUGCUCAACACAGGCGUUUCGCUUGAAUGUUCUUGCAUGGAAUAAUAGAAGAGGAUUUCGGWCCUAUUUUAUUGGUUUUAUAGGCUGAAAUAAUGGUUAAUAGAGACAAACCGGGGGCAUUCGUAUCGCUGCGUGAGAGGUGAAAUUCUUGGAC
rnacentral:rRNA from 1 species